rnacentral:tRNA from 1 species
UUUCCUUUAGCUUAAACUAAAGCGUUAGUUUGAAGCACUGAAGUUAACUCUUGUUAAGGAGGU